rnacentral:rRNA from 1 species
CUAGGAAGCAUCUUGCCGGGCAUCGUGUGGCCUAGUAGGCUCGAAGGACCCUUUUAUAACC